GACAGAGGGUGCGAACGUUGCUCGGAAUUACUGGGCGUAAAGCGCGUGUAGGCGGGUGAUCAAGUCAGGGGUGAAAUCCCCAGGCUCAACCUGGGAACUGCACUUGAAACUGGUUGCCUUGAGUGUUGGAGAGGGAAGCGGAAUUCCUGGUGUAGAGGUGAAAUUCGUAGAUAUCAGGAGGAACACCGGUGGCGAAGGCGGCUUCCUGGACAAUUACUGACGCUGAGACGCGAAAGCGUGGGGAGCAAACAGG
rnacentral:rRNA from 1 species